rnacentral:lncRNA from 1 species
UCGAUAUUAGAACGAGAAGGAGAGAUGCAGAGUGCACGCACAAGGAAAAAAAUGACGGGAGGGGGGAUGGAGGGAGAAAAAGUGUAUGUAUUUGCAGCGCAGAAUGAAGCAUGAGCAAUCAUACCAGCACCAAUGCAACGGAUUCUAUCAGAACUCCGCAAGUUAAGGGUGCUUGGGCGAGAGUAGCACUAGGAUGGGUGACCUCCUGCGAAGUCCUUAUAUUUCACCCUUUUUCUUAGGAAGUCCUCGUGUUGCACACAUUUUUUUACAGAUGAUUCUUUCGACGAUACGCGCGACUUGAAUUAUGGUCCUCAGGUUUAUUCGCAAAUGUGAGUCACGGCACCGUAGCAUUUUACUUGAUAUUAGAACGAGCACGGGAGGUGCAGUGCGCACGCACAAGGAAACAAAUGACGGGAGGGGGAAGAAAGGAGAAGGAGUUUAUGUAUUUGCAGCGCUAAAUUAAACGGGUGCGAUCAUAUCAGCACUAAUGCACUUGAUCCCAUCAGAACUCCGCAGUUAAGUGUGCUUGGGCGAGAGUAGUACUCGGAUAGGUGACCUCCUGGGAAGUUCUCGUGUCGCAACAAUUUUUUUUCAGACGGGUCGUUCGACGUUACGCGCGACUGGAACUAGGGUCCGCUGGUUUAUACUCAAAUGUGAGUUAAGAUGCAGGGGCAUUUUAAUCGAUAUUAGAACGAGAAUGAGAGGUGCAGUGUGAACGCACAAGGAAACAAUUGACGGGAGGUGGAAUAAAGGAGAAGGAGUGUAUGUAUUUGCAGUGCGAAAUUAAACAGGUGCGAUCAUACCAGCACUAAAGCCCCGGAUCCCAUCAGAACUCCGCAGUUGUGUGCUUGGGCGAGAGUAGUACUCGGAUGGGUUACCUACUGCGAAGUCCAUAUAUUUCACCCAUUUUCUUGGGAGGUCCUCGUGUUGCACCCAUCUUUUUGCAGAUGAUUCUUUCGAGGUUACUCGCGACUUGAUUUAUGGUUCGCAGGUUUAUUCGUAAAUGUGAGUCACGGCGCCGUGACAUUUUACUUGAUAUUAGAACGAGUAUGGGAGGUGCAGUGCGCACGCACAAGGAAACAAAUGACGGGGGGUGGAAGAAAAGAGAAGGAGUGUAUCUAUUUGAAGCGCAAAAUUAAUCAAGUGGCAUCAUACCAGCACUAAUGCACUGGAUCCCAUCAGAACUCUGCAGUUAAGUGUGCUUGGUCGAGAGUAGUACUCGGAUGGGUGACCUCCUGGGAAGUCCUUGUGUCGCACUAAUUUUUUUUUUCAGACGGGUCGUUCGACGUUACGCGCGACUUGAUACGCGUAACUUGAAUUUUGGUCCUCAGGUUUAUUCACAAAUGUGCGUCUCGGCACCGUACCAUUUUACUUGAUAUUAGAACGAGCACGGGAGGUGCAAUGCGCAUGCACAAGGAAACAAAUGACGGGAGGGGGAAGAAAGGAGAAGGAGUUUAUAUAUUUGCAGCGCGAAAUUAAAAUGGUGUGAUCAUACCAGCACUAAUGCACCGGAUCCCAUCAGAACUCCGGAGUUAAGUGUGCUUGGGCGAGAGUAGUACUCGGAUGGGUGACCUCCUAGGAAGUUCUCGUGUCGCACCAAUUUUUUUUCAGACGGGUCGUUCGACGUUACGCGCGACUGGAACUAGGGUCCGCUGCUUUAUACGCAAAUGUGAGUCAAGAAGCAGGGGCAUUUUAAUCGAUAUUAGAACGAGAAGGAGAGGUGCAGUGUGAACGCACAAGGAAACAAUUGAUGGGAGGGGGAGGGAAGGAGAAGGAGUGUAUGUAUUUUCAGCACGAAAUGAAACAGGUGCGAUCAUAUCAGCACUAAUGGAACGGAUUCUAUCAGAACUCCGUAGGUAAGGGUGCUUGGGCGAGAGUAGUACUUGCAUGGGUUUCCUCCUGCGAAGUCCUUAUAUUUCACCCAUUUUCUUGUGAAGUUCUCGUGUUGCACCCAUUUUCUUUUCUUUAGAUGUGUCGUUCGACGUUACGCGCGACUUUAAUUAUGGUUCGCAGAUUUAUUCGCAAAUGUGAGUCACGGCUCCGUGGCAUUUUACUUGAUAUUUGAACGAGAACGAGUAGUGCAGUGCGCACGCACAAGGAAACAAAUGACUUGAGGGGGAAGAAAGGAGAAGGAGUUUAUGUAUUUGCAGCGCGGAAUUAAACAGGUGCGAUCAUACCAGCACUAAUGCACCGGAUCCCAUCAAAACUCCGCAGUUAAGUGUGCUUGGGCGAGAUUAGUACUCGGAUUGGUGACCUCCUGGAAAGUCCUCGUGUCGCACUAAUUUCUUUUCAGACGGGUCGUUCGACGUUACGCGCGACUGGAACUAGGGUCCGCUGGUUUAUACGCAAAUGUGAGUCAAGAAGCAGGGGCAUUUUAAUCGAUAUUAGAACGAGAAGGAGAGAUGCAGAGUGCACACACAAGGAAACAAAUGACGGAAGGGGGGAUGGAGGGAGAAAAAAUGUAUGUAUUUGCAGCGCAGAAUGAAACAUGAGCAAUCAUACCAGCACCAAUGCAACAUAUUCUUUCAGAACUCUGCAAGUUAAGGGUGCUUGGGCGAGAGUAGCACUAGGAUGGGUGACCUCCUGCGAAGUCCUUAUAUUUCACCCAUUUUCUUAGGAAGUCCUCGUGUUGCACCCAUUUUUUUGCAGAUGAUUCUUUCGACGAUACGCGCGACUUGAAUUAUGGUCCUCAGGUUUAUUCGCAAAUGUGAGUCACGGCACCGUAGUAUUUUACUUGAUAUUAGAACGAGCACGGGCGGUGCAGUGCGCACGCACAAGGAAAGAAAUGACGGGAGGGGGAAGAAAGGGGAAUGAGUUUAUGUAUUUGCAGCGCGAAAUUAAACAGGUGCGAUCAUACCAGCACAAAUGCACCGGAUCCCUUCAGAACUCCGCAGUUAAGUGUGCUUGGGCGAGAUUAGUACUCAGAUGGGUGACCUCCUGGAAAGUCCUCGUGUCGCACCAAUUUUUUUUCAGACGGGUCGUUCGACGUUACGCGAGUCUGGAACUAGGGUCCGCUGGUUUAUACGCAAAUGUGAAUCAAGAAGCAGGGGCAUUUUAAUCGAUAUUAGAACGAGAAGAAGAGAUGAAGUGUGAACGCACAAGGAAACAAAUGACGGAGGGGGAAGAAAGGAGAAGGAAUAUAUGUAUUUGCAGCGCGGAAUUAAACAGGUGCGAUCAUACCAGAACUAAAGCUCCGGAUCCCAUCAGAAUUCCGCAGUUAGGUGUGCUUGGGCGAGAGUAGUACUCGGAUGGGUGACCACUUGGGAAGCCCUCGUGUUGCACCUUUUUUUUCUCGGAUGGGUUGUUCAACGUUACGCGCGAGUGGAAUUAUAAACCGCUGGUUCAUUUGCAAAGGUGAGUCACGGUGCCGGGGCAUAUUAUUUGAUAUUAGAACGAGAAAGAGAGGUGCAGAGUGCACGCACAAGGAAACAAAUGACGGGUGGGGGGAUGGGAGGAGAAAGAGUGUAUGUAUUUGCAGUGCAGAAUGAAACAUGAGGGAUCAUACCAGCACUAAUGCAACGGAUUCUAUCAGAACUCCGCAGUUAAGGGUGCUUGGGCGAGAAAAGUACUCGGAUGGGUGACCUCCUGCGAAGUCCUUAUAUUUCAUCCAUUUUCUUGCGAGGUCCUCGUGUUGCACCCAUCUUUUUGCAGAUGAUUCUUUCGACGUUACGCGCGACUUGAUUUAUGGUCCGCAGGUUUAUUCGCAAAUGUGAGUCACGGCGCCGUGGCAUUUUACUUGAUAUUAGAACGAGUACGGGAGGUGCUGUGCACACGCACAAGGAAACAAAUAACGGGAGGAGGAAGAAAAGAGAAGGAGUGUAUGUAUUUGAAGCACAAAAUUAAACAAGUGGCAUCAUACCAGCACUAAUGUACUGGAUCCCAUCAGAACUCUGCAGUUAAGGGUGCUUGGGCGAGAGUAGUACUCGGAUGGGUGACCUCUUGGGAAGUCCUCGUAUCGCAAUAAUUUUUUUUCAGAUGGGUCGUUCGACAUUACGCGGGACUGGAACUAUGGUCCGCUGGUUUAUACGCAAAUGUGAGUCAAGAAUCAGGGGCAUUUUAAUCGAUAUUCGAACGAGAAGGAGAGGUGUAGUGUGAACGCACAAGGAAACAAAUGAUGAGAGGGGGGGAGGGAAGAAGGAGUGUAUGUAUUUUCAGCACGAAAUUAAACAGGUGCGGUCACACCAGCACUAAUGCACCGGAUCCCAUCAGAACUCCGCAGUUAAGUGUGCUUUGGGGAAAGUAGUACAAUGAUGGGUUACCUCCUGGGAAAUUCUCAUGUUGCACCCAUUUUCUUUUUUUCAGAUGUGCCGUUCGACGUUACGCGCGACUUUAAUUAUGGUCCGCACAUUUAUUCGCAAAUGUGAGUUACGGCGCCGUGGCAUUUUACUUGAUAUUUGAACGAGAACGAGAGGUGCAGUGCGCACGCACAAGGAAACAAAGGACGGGAGGGGGAAGAAAGGAGAAGGAGUUUGUGUAUUUGCAGCGCAGAAUGAAACAUGAGCAAUCAUACCAGCACCAAUGCAACGGAUUCUGUCAGAACUCCGCAAGUUAAGGGUGCUUAGGCGAGAGUAGCACUAGGAUGGGUGACCUCCUGCAAAGUCCUUAUAUUUCACCAAUUUUCUUAGGAACUCCUCGUGUUGCACCCAUUUUUUUGCAGAUGAUUCUUUCGACGAUACGCGCGACUUGAAUUAUGGUCCACAGGUUUAUUCGCAAAUGUGAGUCACGGCACCGUAGCAUUUUACUUGAUAUUAGAACGAGCACGGGAGGUGCAGUGCCCACGCACAAGGAAACAAAUGACGGGAGGCGGAAGAAAGGAGAAAGAGUUUAUGUAUUUACAGUGUAGAAUUAAACCGGUGCGAUCAUACCAGCACUAAUGCACCGGAUCCCAUCAGAGCUCGGCAGUUAAGUGUGCUUGGGAGAGAGUAGUACUCGGAUGGGUGAUCUCUUGGGAAGUCCUUGUGUCGCACCAAUUUUUUUUCAGACGGGUCGUUCGACGUUACGCGCGACUAGAACUGGGGUCCGCUGGUUUAUACGCAAUUGUGAGUCAAGAAGCAGGGGCAUUUUAAUCGAUAUUAGAACGAGAAGGAGAGGUGCAGUGUGAACGCACAAGGAAACAAUUGAUGGGAGGGGGAGGGAAGGAGAAGGAGUGUAUGUAUUUUCAGCACGAAAUGAAACAGGUGCGAUCAUAUCAGCACUAAUGGAACGGAUUCUAUCA